CGCCGGGGACGACCCUGGCGGCUCUCCUUUCGCCGGGACGACCCG
rfam:Aeromonas diversa 2478-85 Contig 69, whole genome shotgun sequence.